rnacentral:piRNA from 1 species
UACCUGUGGACAAGUGACCUGCCACACUGCU